rnacentral:rRNA from 1 species
GGUCCUAAGGUAGCGAAAUUCCUUGUCGGGUAAGUUCCGACCUGCACGAAAGGCGCAACGAAUUGGGCGCUGUCUCGACCAUGGACCCGGUGAAAUUCCACUAGUCGUGAAGAUGCGACUUACCCGCGGAAGGACGGAAAGACCCCGUGAACCUUCACUGCAGCUUGGCAUUGGCCGCUGGCCCGUCGCGUAGAGGAUAGGCGGGAGGCUUCGAAGCCCGGGCGCCAGCCCGGGUGGAGCCGACCUUGGAAUACCGCCCUCGGCGCGCCGGCGUCCUAACCCCGGGCCGUGAUCCGGCCGGGGGACCGUGCCAGGUGGGUAGUUUGACUGGGGCGGUCGCCUCCCAAAGGGUAACGGAGGCGCGCGAAGGUCCGCUCGGGACGGUCGGCAACCGUCCUCAAUGAGUGCAAGAGCGUAAGCGGGCUUGACUGCGAGGCAGACACGCCGAGCAGGUGCGAAAGCAGGCUCUAGUGAUCCGGCGGCCCCGCGUGGGUGGGCCGUCGCUCAACGGAUAAAAGGUACUCCGGGGAUAACAGGCUGAUCUUGCCCAAGAGUCCACAUCGACGGCAAGGUUUGGCACCUCGAUGUCGGCUCAUCGCAUCCUGGGGCUGGAGCAGGUCCCAAGGGUACGGCUGUUCGCCGUUUAAAGCGGUACGCGAGCUGGGUUCAGAACGUCGUGAGACAGUUCGGUCCCUAUCCUCCGCGGGCGCAGGAGAAUCGAGGGAGGCUGCCCCUAGUACGAGAGGACCGGGGUGGACGCACCUCUGGUGAACCGGUUGUCGACCAACGGCACGGCCGGGUAGCCACGUGCGGCGCGGAUAACCGCUGAAGGCAUCUAAGCGGGAAGCCGUUCCCGAGAUCAGUUCUCCUUCCGGUAAGGGCCCAGGUAGACUACCUGGUCGAUAGGCGGCAGGUGCAAGCGCGGCGACGCGCUCAGCCGAGCCGUACUAAUAGCCCGAGCUCUUACCCG